rnacentral:rRNA from 1 species
UACCAGCACCCCGAGUGGUCGGGACGAUUAUUGGGGCCUAAAGCAUCCGUAGCCGGUUUUACAAGUCCUCCGUUAAAUCCAGCUGCUUAACAGAUGGGCUGGCGGAGGAUACUAUAAGACUAGGAGGCGAGGAGAGGCAAGCGGUACUCAGUGGGUAGGGGUAAAAUCCGUUGAUCCAUUGAAGACCACCAGUGGCGAAGGCGGCUUGCCAGAAUGCGCUCGACGGUGAGGGAUGAAAGCUGGGGGGAGCAAACCGG